ACGGCCUUCGGGUUGUAAAGCCUUCAGUUGGGACGAAGCUUCGUCGGUUAAUAGCCGACUGGAGUGACGGUACCUUCAGAAGAAGCCCCGGCUAACUACGUGC
rnacentral:rRNA from 1 species